GCACUGCUGACGAGUCCCAAAUAGGACGAAACAGCUGUUCAGUGC
rnacentral:hammerhead_ribozyme from 1 species